CGGAAUGUGGCGCAGGUGGUAGCGCACUGGCAUGGGGGGCCAGGGGUCCCGGGUUCGAGUCCCGGCAUUCCGA
rnacentral:tRNA from 6 species